GGUAUGAGUGAGCUUUGGGAAAAAAAAUAUUAAACGAAGAAAGAGAAUAGAGGUGCUGCACAUGAUGGUCAGAAAACAGGUUUUGGGACACUAAGCGAUGAUUUUAGAGCUUGCUUAGGGGACUUUACAACCGGUGGUUGCAGAGCAUGACUCACCAUCUUUUAGCAGCUUAUUCAUUGCUUUUAAUCACUAUAAAAAGGAAAUGGAGGCUGUGAAUUAUCACCACCACCAACAUCAAGCCGCUUCACUCUCUUUGCCCUCUUCAUUCUCUACUCUUUUUCUUUUCUCCAUCACCAUCCUUGCAUCUUUCUUCUCUGAACCUGUUUUGUGAGCUCCAUGAGCAUAGUUUGGAGCACCACCAUGGGAAGGAGGAAGUGACAGCCGCGAGCUCUCUCCCUCUCCCCUGUUUUCCGAUUACCUUUCCCGCCGCAAGAACCGUCGUGAACUUCAUCUUCGCCGGCGACUCUUCGCCGAAAAAUUUCCAGAACUUGAUUUUGGAUGCAAAGUGCAAGAAUGCGUUCGUGUCGGAGCUAAAGAUUUGGCAGAAAGCGAGCUGGUACGAGGAGCGAGGACAUGAUCAGAUCAGAUUCGCAGCUUAGAAAGGGAAGUGGCUAAGGUGAUGGACGACGGCAAGUUCAAGUACCAUGCUUUUGGGGAAGUCUUAGUGGUGUUGCUGAUGAGGAGGAUCCAUGAUGACGUGACAAGGUGUCAUGCCUUUGUAUCAGCUCGGUGAAGUGCAUCGUAAGUCGUUCGUGGGAUUGACUACAUGUCUGUUGACGCCAUAACCAUGUUGCAGAUCUUAUUAGAGAUCGGUCUUUCGACCGUCGAGGAGGAUCCUUCAGAGGAUGAGUAGAGUCUUGUGUAAGGCUUGAGCCUUUUGGGUAGAAAGCUUACCAUUGUUGGUUGAAGCUUGUAGAAUGAUCACAUGAGUUUGAAUUCUUUUGGGUUUUAGAGGAAGGGUAGGUUCCGAUAUUUUGCUAUUUCGUGUUCUACCCAGUGCGGAGAUCACAAGGAGCUUGUCGGGCAUAAGAAGUCUUUCAAUUUUUCUUUUGCAAACUUAUUUGUAUGCAUAUUUAUGGAUAUAAUGAUAUCUAUUAUUGGGUAAUUACUAUGCAUUAUCUAGAGCAUGUUUUGAAAAAAAAUAUACUUGCAUUUUUGGAACCUUGAAAGUUUAGUCGGCAUAUUUAGUUUUUGAAAAGGUUACUAAAGUGACCCUCGAGAAAUCGGGGUGUUACAGAAUCCAACUCAUCCAAUGGAUCUUCAUCUCCUUCUCCUUUUGUCACACCAAAAAUUUGCCAUAGAUCCAUUUCGUUACAUAUGCCUCCAGGAAUCAAAGCAACUCAUCACAUAGUUUGGUAUGGCUUGUGCCACCGAGUUUAGAAGAAUAUA